rnacentral:misc_RNA from 1 species
UUUUUUUUUUUUUUUUUUAUGGGUAUUUGUUGUUUGGAUUUUUAUUUUUUAAAUUGUUAUUGCUUAAUUGAAGCUAAUUCUGGUACAGUGUGGUUUGGAUAAAUUGUGGUUUUGAAUUCUGAUGGGCACGCGAUUCUAGUAAAAAAAUAUUCGAGCUGGGCAUCUCUCGCCGCAAUGUGUGAUGGUGUGCCUUAGUAAACGCGCUGUCGUUUUAAUUUAUGUUAAUUUAAUUAGUAUUGAUGCAUUAUGCCUUUAAAUAAUGUUUUCAAAUCUAAUUGGGUGCUUGAAUUGACG